rnacentral:rRNA from 1 species
UACGGGGGGGGCAAGCGUUGUCCGGAAUCAUUGGGCGUAAAGCGCGUGUAGGCGGCCCGGUAAGUCCGCUGUGAAAGUCCAGGGCUCAACCCUGGAAUGCCGGUGGAUACUGUCGGGCUCGAGUCCGGAAGAGGCGAGUGGAAUUCCUGGUGUAGCGGUGAAAUGCGCAGAUAUCAGGAGGAACACCGAUGGCGAAGGCAGCUCGCUGGGACGGUACUGACGCUGAGACGCGAAAGCGUGGGGAGCAAACAGG